GGAUGUGAGGGCAAUCUGGCUGCAACUUCUGUUACCCUGAUGAUCGCCAGUGUUGAUUUGGCUGUUCUAGCUGGCUAGGAGGGUGUCCCCAUCCUCUCUCAUUGCUCCGUCUGUGUCUCUCCUGAAGCUGCAUGCUUGCUCUGUUGAAGAGGAAGACCUUCCCUUAUAGAGGAAGACCAUUCUUCAGUCAAGGGUAUAUGAGUAGCUGCAUGCCCCUUCUAGAACCUGCAAACAAGCUCUCAAGGUCUAUUUGUAGGAGAACAUAGGGUAGUUAAACUUCCAAGGCUCUAAACACAUUCAAAUGAGGUACUGCAUGUGGAAGUCCACCUUUU
rnacentral:snRNA from 1 species